rnacentral:rRNA from 1 species
UACAGAGGUCACAAGCGUUGUUCGGAUUCACUGGGCGUAAAGGGUGCGUAGGCGGUCGGGUAAGUCUGAUGUGAAAUCUCACAGCUUAACUGUGAAACUGCAUUGGAUACUAUCCGGCUCGAGGAAUGGAGGGGAGACUGGAAUACUUGGUGUAGCAGUGAAAUGCGUAGAUAUCAAGUGGAACACCAGUGGCGAAGGCGAGUCUCUGGACAUUUCCUGACGCUGAGGCACGAAAGCCAGGGGAGCAAACGGG